UUGGCUCACACUUUGCAAUCACUCAACAACAGUGGGACUACGAUUUGGUUUUCAACAGUGCAGUUAGCAGUAAGGGUGUGUCCAUGUAAGGACACUUCGGCCUGGGCUCACCACGCUACGCCUGUGUUGAAAUCAAACCUACGCCCCUGACCCGACCUCAACCAAAGUGAGAUCGUUUGGGAUUAUUUGGGCAGCAGAGUGAAGGAAAAGCAGCCGACAAAGGCUCAGCCUUCAAGACUGUUGAAGAGAAAUUCCAGCUCUUGGGGAUAUUUCGGAAGGGCGUCCAUUUCUAGGCCAAGCUGCUGCCACAUAAAAAAGACUGGUGCUGAUUAAA